GCUCCUGUGGCGCAAUUGAUUAGCGCAUGGCAUUUAUAUUGCCAAGGCUGUGAGUUCAAAUCUCACCUGGAGCA